rnacentral:misc_RNA from 1 species
GAAAUGCGAUAAGUAAUGUGAAUUGCAGAAUUUAGUGAAUCAUCGAAUCUUUGAACGCACAUUGCGCCCUCUGGCAUUCCGGAGGGCAUGCCUGUUCGAGCGUCAUUACAACCCUCAAGCCCAGCUUGGUAUUGGGUCGCGCCGCCUGGCCGACCCCAAAGACAAUGGUGGCGCCCCCCGGCCCUCAGCGUAGUACAUCUCUCGCUGUAGGGUCCCGUGGUGGUGUCGACACCCUAAACUCACAAGGUUGACCUCGGAUCAGGUAGGGAUACCCGCUGAACUUAA